GUACAUAUCAACAACGGCAAAAAGUCCCUCUGGGACAUUGGCGACAGCAAUGCCUUGUGAAACACCAUUGACAUAGAAUAUCAAUUCGCGCUGUAAAAUUACAGAGCAGCAUGAGCACCUGGUAAAGGUUAGCCUGUCAAAUUUAACAAACACAAAACAAGUCUCACACCACAAACUUGAUGCACUGCAGGAUUAAUAAUAUAUAGUGGAAUCUUUGGAAACGUUAUUCGAAAGAACGAAUUUCGUUCCACAAAGAACAGGAAAAGAGACAGAGAGAGAUAUAUAUAGAGAUAAAGACAGAAAGAGAGGAGGCAAAGACAGACGCAUGAUGCUUCCAUUAUAAGGGAGAGGGUGCACACGCGGAGGCGACAGACCGAGGGCGCGAGAGCGUCUCUCGAGGGAGGUACAUACCUUCUU